AAUGAACGCUGGCGGCAGGCCUAACACAUGCAAGUCGAACGGAUCCCUCGGGAUUAGUGGCGGACGGGUGAGUAACGCGUGGGAACAUACCCUUUGGUACGGAAUAGCCUCGGGAAACUGGGAGUAAUACCGUAUGUGGUCGAGAGACGAAAGAUUUAUCGCCAAAGGAUUGGCCCGCGUUGGAUUAGGUAGUUGGUGGGGUAAUGGCCUACCAAGCCGACGAUCCAUAGCUGGUUUGAGAGGAUGAUCAGCCACACUGGGACUGAGACACGGCCCAGACUCCUACGGGAGGCAGCAGUGGGGAAUCUUAGACAAUGGGGGAAACCCUGAUCUAGCCAUGCCGCGUGAUCGAUGAAGGCCUUAGGGUUGUAAAGAUCUUUCAGGUGGGAAGAUAAUGACUGUACCACCAGAAGGAGCCCCGGCUAACUCCGUGCCAGCCGCCGCCGUAAUAC
rnacentral:rRNA from 1 species